CCUACGGGAGGCUGCAGUGGGGAAUAUUGGGCAAUGGGCGCAAGCCUUACCCAGCAAUACCGCGUGAGUGAAGAAGGUCUUCGGAUUGUAAAGCUCUUUGAUCAGGGACGAACAGAUGACGGUACCUGAAGAACAAGCCCCGGCUAACUACGUGCCAGCAGCCGCGGUAAAACGUAGGGGGCGAGCGUUGUCCGGAAUGACUGGGUGUAAAGGGCGUGUAGCCGGGCUGACAAGUCAGAUGUGAAAUCCGGGGGCUCAACCCCCGAACUGCAUUUGAAACUGUUGGUCUUGAGUAUCGGAGAGGCAGGCGGAAUUCCUAGUGUAGCGGUGAAAUGCGUAGAUAUUAGGAGGAACACCAGUGGCGAAGGCGGCCUGCUGGACGACAACUGACGGUGAGGCGCGAAAGCGUGGGGAGCAAACAGGAUUAGAUACCCGUGUAGUC
rnacentral:rRNA from 1 species